UACGUAGGGCGCAAGCGUUGUCCGGAAUUAUUGGGCGUAAAGAGCUCGUAGGCGGCCUGUCGCGUCUGCUGUGAAAUCCCGGGGCUCAACCCCGGGCCUGCAGUGGAUACGGGCUGGCUGGAGGCAGGCAGGGGAGAACGGAAUUCCUGGUGUAGCGGUGAAAUGCGCAGAUAUCAGGAGGAACACCCGUGGCUAAGGCGGUUCUCUAGUACGGUACUGACGCUGAGACGCGAAAGCGUGGGGAGCAAACAGG
rnacentral:rRNA from 1 species